AAAUAUGAUGAGCUUUUUAUACACUUUUUUAAUGCUAGAUAGUAUCUGAAAUAUAUGCAUCAAUGCAUUCAUGAUUAUAGUGUUACAACAAUGAAAUUUACUCUGAUA